GCACAUCUGAGGUCGCUUAGGGCUCGGAUUACCGCAGCCCAGAUUUUAAAGACCCGAAGGGUGUUGGAGGGUUUAAUUCUUUCAGGUGUUGGGUGCGAUUGUGAGCAGGAUUAAUACCCGUAUAUAUUUAUUAUGCACUUUUUACUAUAUUAACAGCUUUCUCACCAAUUUCGUCUUAAAAUCACCGGAGUAAGUUACAAGCUCUUGGAAGUUAAGUUGGUACCUCUCAAAAGUUUUCUGCGGAAGUACCCUUUGUCGCCAGAGCAUCAUUUCCCUGUGCUGGAGGAAUGGGAUAAAGGGAGGCUGCCAGAAAGGUAGUGGCAGCUGGCAGGAAGGACAGAAUUGCCUUGAAGAUUCAGUGUUUUGUUUUGGUGGAUUUUACUUAAUAUAUGAAACACUCAUGUGAAUUUUGCAUUGCACUUCACAAUUUACCCGUGCUUAACUUGUUAGAAGUUUACAUUAUAUUUUUUCCUCUGACCCCAUAUUAUUUACUCAUACUUAUCCAUCCAAGCAUUUUUCAUUACAAUGGACAGUUACUUAUUUAUUUCUGCGGAGAUUUCUUUGUUUUGUUUUACGCAUGUAUCGCCCAAACAUAAAACUUUUAAGUUCAGAAGAAUAAGACAUUCUAAGGUGAUGAAGUGCUUUGAGAACAUAAGACACUAAGCUUACAUUUACAAGAAGAAGAAGGCUGGGGAAUUAAUUAUAAACGAUACCUUAAAGACGCUAAAAAUAAGUAACAUAAGCCAGGUUGAGGUAAAUACUCUUUCUCUUCAGGUUUCAUAAAAUUUAAUGUGUGUUUGCAAGAAGCUUUCCAAGAGUUUUUACAUUCACUACCAUUCUAUGAGUCUGAAUCUUGAACACACAAUGCCUACUUGUUUGAUAUGCAAUAGAAAGUAUUCAUUUUAUUUUAAAAUGUAAUUUACUAAUCGACCUUGUAAUAUUUAAUCAACUGACUACAUUGACUGAUAUUUGUCAUAACUAGCAUCAACGUCUUUUCAGAUUCUCUUGGAAUUCAGAAAAACAUCCAUUUCACUGUUUUGCAUCAAUUCAAUAAAAAUAAACUGUGAUUAUAUUAGAAACGUGUGUGUUUUAAUCAGUUCAGGCUGCUAUAACAAAAUAUUAUAGAAUGGAUGGCUUAUAAAUAACAAACAAGUAUGUCUUACAGUUCUGGAGGCUGGAUAAAAUCAAGGUGUUGGGCUAUUUGCUGUCUAGUGAAGGUGUGUCCUGGUUCCUAGAG
rnacentral:lncRNA from 1 species